rnacentral:rRNA from 1 species
UACGUAGGGUGCGAGCGUUGUUCGGAAUUACUGGGCGUAAAGCGCACGUAGGCGGCUUUGUAAGUUAGAGGUGAAAGCCCGGGGCUCAACCCCGGAACAGCCUUUAAGACUGCAUCGCUUGAACGUCGGAGAGGUGAGUGGAAUUCCGAGUGUAGAGGUGAAAUUCGUAGAUAUUCGGAAGAACACCAGUGGCGAAGGCGGCUCACUGGACGACUGUUGACGCUGAGGUGCGAAAGCGUGGGGAGCAAACAGG